CUGGCUGGGGGCAUUGUGAAGGAGAAGCCUAACUUCAGCUUAAAAACUAAAGUAGAUCUUUAAAGCACUCACAGCUGAAAAGUCUUUAUGCCAUGAAAAAUUCAGAAACUAAUGGAAUGUAGUACAUCCUACAGUUUUUUUCUAGAUUUUCCAGAGUCCACAGGCUUUUUUAAUCUCUUGAGGUAUGCUAGUUUCUUUAACAGCCCACAUCAAAAAGCUUAUCCACCACGAUCAAUUCAGCUUCAUACCUGGGAUGCAAGGCUGGUUCAACAUAUGCAAAUCAAUAAAUGUAAUCCAUCACAUAAACAGAACCAACAACAAAAACCAUGAUUAUCUCAAUAUAUGCAGAAAAGGCCUUUGACAAAAUUCAACAGCCCUUUAUGCUAAAAACUCACAAUAAGCUAGAUAUUGGUGGAACGUAUCUCAAAAUAAUAAGAGCUAUUUAUGACAAU
rnacentral:lncRNA from 1 species